rnacentral:rRNA from 1 species
GUUAUAGGGACAAGCGAAUAAGUGCACAUGGUGGAUGCCUUGGCGAUUACAGGCGA